ensembl:snRNA U6 U6 spliceosomal RNA
AUGCUUGUUUCAGCAGCAUGUAUACCAAAACUGGAAUGAUAAAAAGAUUAGCAUGGCCCCUGCACAAGGAUAACAUGCACAUUCAUGAAAAAUUCCAUGUUUUU